UGUUUAACCAUCUGCUCCUUGGCACACAAUCUUCCAGAAGUUAACUCACAAUUAAAAACAGAAGAAACUUCUGUUUCAGAAGAAAGGCAAAAUUAUUCAGACGAAAAAAAAGGUGGUUUCCUGGAUCAGCUCCUUGAUGAAUGAAGCCCCGCAAAAGAGACAAACACAGGAUGGCUAAAGCAUUGAAAUGAAUCACCAGGACUAUCAUGUUUCAAAACACACACAAAACAAAACUUGGCACUCAGUAUUAUCAACUAGAGAUUU